rnacentral:rRNA from 1 species
UUAAUUGAAGAGUUUGAUCAUGGCUCAGAUUGAACGCUGGCGGCAGGCCUAACACAUGCAAGUCGAACGGUAACAGGGAGCAGCUUGCUGCUCUGCUGACGAGUGGCGGACGGGUGAGUAAUGUCUGGGAAACUGCCUGAUGGAGGGGGAUAACUACUGGAAACGGUAGCUAAUACCGCAUAACGUCUACGGACCAAAGUGGGGGACCUUCGGGCCUCAUGCCAUCAGAUGUGCCCAGAUGGGAUUAGCUAGUAGGUGGGGUAACGGCUCACCUAGGCGACGAUCCCUAGCUGGUCUGAGAGGAUGACCAGCCACACUGGAACUGAGACACGGUCCAGACUCCUACGGGAGGCAGCAGUGGGGAAUAUUGCACAAUGGGCGCAAGCCUGAUGCAGCCAUGCCGCGUGUAUGAAGAAGGCCUUCGGGUUGUAAAGUACUUUCAGCGGGGAGGAAGG